GCGGGUAUAGUACAGUGGUAGUACGACUCCCUUCCAAGGAGUAGACACGAGUUCGAAUCUCGUUACCCGCU
rfam:Candidatus Yanofskybacteria bacterium RIFCSPHIGHO2_01_FTLL_41_53 rifcsphigho2_01_scaffold_5056, whole genome shotgun sequence.